ACAUGCAAGUCGAACGAACUUCCGUUAAUUGAUUAUGACGUACUUGUACUGAUUGAGAUUUUAACACGAAGUGAGUGGCGAACGGGUGAGUAACACGUGGGUAACCUGCCCAGAAGUAGGGGAUAACACCUGGAAACAGAUGCUAAUACCGUAUAACAGAGAAAACCGCAUGGUUUUCUUUUAAAAGAUGGCUCUGCUAUCACUUCUGGAUGGACCCGCGGCGUAUUAGCUAGUUGGUGAGGUAAAGGCUCACCAAGGCAGUGAUACGUAGCCGACCUGAGAGGGUAAUCGGCCACAUUGGGACUGAGACACGGCCCAGACUCCUACGGGAGGCAGCAGUAGGGAAUCUUCCACAAUGGACGCAAGUCUGAUGGAGCAACGCCGCGUGAGUGAAGAAGGGUUUCGGCUCGUAAAGCUCUGUUGUUAAAGAAGAACGUGGGUAAGAGUAACUGUUUACCCAGUGACGGUAUUUAACCAGAAAGCCACGGCUAACUACGUGCCAGCAGCCGCGGUAAUACGUAGGUGGCAAGCGUUAUCCGGAUUUAUUGGGCGUAAAGCGAGCGCAGGCGGUCUUUUAAGUCUAAUGUGAAAGCCUUCGGCUCAACCGAAGAAGUGCAUUGGAAACUGGGAGACUUGAGUGCAGAAGAGGACAGUGGAACUCCAUGUGUAGCGGUGAAAUGCGUAGAUAUAUGGAAGAACACCAGUGGCGAAGGCGGCUGUCUGGUCUGCAACUGACGCUGAGGCUCGAAAGCAUGGGUAGCGAACAGGAUUAGAUACCCUGGUAGUCCAUGCCGUAAACGAUGAUUACUAAGUGUUGGAGGGUUUCCGCCCUUCAGUGCUGCAGCUAACGCAUUAAGUAAUCCGCCUGGGGGAGUACGACCGCAAGGUUGAAACUCAAAAGAAUUGACGGGGGCCCGCACAGCGGUGGAGCAUGUGGUUUAAUUCGAAGCUACGCGAAGAAUCCUUACCAGGUCUUGACAUCUUCUGACAGUCUAGGAGAUAGAGUUCCCUUCCGGGGACUGAUGUACAGGAUGGUGCAAUGUGUCGUCAGCUCCUGUCUGAGAUG
rnacentral:rRNA from 1 species